CUGACUGACAAGCGACCUGCGCUGGUGCAGCGCGGCUGAGAGCUCGGAGACAACGAGAUGCCUGUCUUCUUUCAGUUCCCUUUACCGAUCUUUCCCUUUUUUUCAUUUUCUCCCUUUUUCUUAUUCUGCUGCUGCUACUUUUUCGAUCUUCUUAUUAUUCUUACUGUUGGGUAGAAAACUCGCCGAGCUCGAUCCAGGUUUUUCGUCGAUUCGUAUUUUAUGUUUUAACGAUUUCUUUUCAAAAUCGGACGCUUUGUCCUUGUCGAUAUGCGCUUUAUAAGUUCACUCGUCGAUACUUUCAAAAGCAAAACCGCUUCUCAUAUAGAAAUUCAGUUCGAUUCGAUUAUAUCGAGUUGCUCGGUUCGAAUUACGUGAUUUGUAAUUGUUUCAACAAAAUAAGACCAUCCAUCAAAUCCCAAAAAGUGGUACCCCUAUAUUUAUACGCGUCCAUCUGAUUUCCUGAUAAUCAGCGACAGGCUUUUCACCUUCGCGUGCCUUCGUUUUAUGACUCUAUUGGUGCAAUAACAACGUUGUCACGUAACAAAUCAUCGUCGUCGCCGGGGUCGCCGUUGUCGCCGUAGUACGUCGCAUCAAGGUACGAAAUAGAUGAAACUUGCGAAACUUUCGGUCCACCGAUCCUUGAGUGAGUAAGUGUAGUCAGUUUCUAAAAAUUUAUACUUCUGGGAUAACUAUAAUUACAAUCAAAUACUUACUAGGUACAAAAAAUAUUAAUGAGGUAAUACCUAGAAGCUCGCGUAGCAUGAAUGAAUGAAAAAAAAAAAAAAAAAAAAAAAGGUACGAAACACACCUGUGUAUCGGCUCCAUGCAUACACGUGAUACGGGUAUGGCGGAAUGACUGAGCCCUGUGAGUGAGGUAUUUAUGGCUUGGUGCAAGAGUAGAGAGAGGAAGGGAAGGAGGGAGGCAGGAAAAAGAUAAGGGGGAGCAACAGCAUGUAGUGAAGAGUUGGAAAGGGAGAGAAGAAGGGAGUAACUCUCACUCCCUCAGUUUUAUUAUCGUAAUAACAUUAAGGCGGCUCUUUUGAGACCGCUCAAAGAGACGCAUGCUCACAAAUACAACGAUACGACCGACGAGUGCCACCACCGUCACAAUCACCAUUACCACUACCACCGCUGCACCACCACCACCACCACCACCACCACUAUUACUUGUACUUAUAGUAAGUUUGUUAGAUGUUAUUAUUACACCAUACGUACGUAUACGCAUUCGAAGUAACAUCAGCAGCACAGCUGCAGCUAUAUGCGUGGUCCUCGAUGAGCAGUUGAAAAUAAGAUAAUCAACACACAAUCUAAUUAAGAGUCGAAAACCAUCUGAUGAUCAUCUCGUGAGCGACUAUUGUUAGAAUGAACCAUGCGUGAUGCAAACGAUCAAAAGAAAUAGGACGAAGAAAAGAAUUACUAUAAGAAAAAAGGUGAACGUAAAGUGAAAGAUCAGAUCAUUAACAACUGUGGGAUGAUGAAGAGGAAGAGAAGCUUUUUAUUCUAGAUGGUACAUGUGGCGAUGGUUCACCAAAACUCUAGUCCCGGUUCUCCCUAAUUAGUGGACGGAUAUAUACACGUCGAAAGGGCUGGCAUGUAAGAAGAAGCACCCACGACCAUCACCUACACCAGCAAUCUUAAAAGAGAUCAAAAGCGAAGUAUCGUCGUCACAUACGAUCGUCAUAUCUUCGUCGCCUCGAC